rnacentral:rRNA from 1 species
GAUGAACGCUAGCUACAGGCUUAACACAUGCAAGUCGAGGGGUAACGAGAGGAAAGCUUGCUUUCCUUGUCGACGACCGGCGCACGGGUGAGUAACGCGUAUCCAACCUGCCCCCAACUAGGGAAUAACCUUGCGAAAGUAAGACUAAUACCCUAUAAUUUCCUCAGAUGUCAUCUGACGAGGAAUAAAGAUUUAUCGGUUGUGGAUGGGGAUGCGUCUGAUUAGCUUGUUGGCGGGGUAACGGCCCACCAAGGCAACGAUCAGUAGGGGUUCUGAGAUGAAGGUCCCCCACAUUGGAACUGAGAGACGGUCCAAGCUCCUACGGGAGGCAGCAGGGAGGAAUAUUGGUCAAUGGGCGCAAGCCUGAACCAGGCAAGUAGCGUGCAGGAUGACGGCCCUAUGGAUUGUAAACUGCUUUUAUACAGGAAUAAAGUUAGCCACGUGUGGUUAUUUGUAGGUACUGUAUGAAUAAGGACCGGCUAAUUCCGUGCCAGCAGCCGCCGUAA